GAUGAAGAACGUAGCGAAAUGCGAUAAUUAAUGUGAAUUGCAGAAUUCCGUGAAUCAUCGAGUCUUUGAACGCACAUUGCGCCUCAUGGCAUCCCGUGAGGCAUGCCCAUCUCAGCGUUAGAAAAUAUUCUCAAAUUUUAGUUUUGUGCUAAAAUUUGGAUCAUGUCAAGGAAGCUAUUACUAUUAUUGUGAUUGCUCUUUGGAAAUUGAUAGGUCUUUGAGUUGCUACUCAUAGAACGUGAUGAAUCUUUCUUCGUUCUAUUGUAAUUCACUCUGGUAGUCCUAAAAGUUGUAUGCCUGUGGCAUAUCUUGUAAUUUGACCUGAGAUUGGGUAGGGAUACCCGCUGAACUUAAGCAUAUCAAUAAGCGGAGGA
rnacentral:misc_RNA from 1 species